rnacentral:rRNA from 1 species
GUAGGGUCCAAGCGUUAAUCGGGAAUUACUGGGGCGUAAAGCGUGCGCAGGCGGUUGUGCAAGACCGAUGUGAAAUCCCCCGGGGCUUAACCUGGGAAUUGCAUUGGUGACUGCACGGCUAGAGUGUGUCAGAGGGGGGUAGAAUUCCACGUGUAGCAGUGAAAUGCGUAGAGAUGUGGAGGAAUACCGAUGGCGAAGGCAGCCCCCUGGGAUAACACUGACGCUCAUGCACGAAAGCGUGGGGAGCAAACAGGAUUAGAUACCCUGGUAGUCCACGCCCUAAACGAUGUCAACUAGUUGUUGGGGAUUCAUUUCCUUAGUAACGUAGCUAACGCGUGAAGUUGACCGCCUGGGGAGUACGGUCGCAAGAUUA